GCUAAAACUGACAAGUUGUGGAGGGGGCGACGACACGUGUUCGAACCGGGUCUCAUUAUCACCGCAAAACUCGGCGGCCCCGUCGUAGAACCGCCGGGGAAAACAACAAACUUCCGAUGAUUACGUUUUAUUCGUCCUUAUCCAAAAUUUUUCAGUAAUUAAUUCAAUAAAAAAAUCAUCCACAUUCUUGGCACCACCCAUGUCCCAAGAAAGGAAAGAGUAC
rnacentral:lncRNA from 1 species